AGCGAACGCUGGCGGCAGGCCUAACACAUGCAAGUCGAACGAACUCUUCGGAGUUAGUGGCGGACGGGUGAGUAACACGUGGGAACGUGCCUUUAGGUUCGGAAUAACUCAGGGAGACUUGUGCUAAUACCGAAUGUGCCCUUCGGGGGAAAGAUUUAUCGCCUUUAGAGCGGCCCGCGUCUGAUUAGCUAGUUGGUGAGGUAAAGGCUCACCAAGGCGACGAUCAGUAGCUGGUCUGAGAGGAUGAUCAGCCACAUUGGGACUGAGACACGGCCCAAACUCCUACGGGAGGCAGCAGUGGGGAAUCUUGCGCAAUGGGCGAAGGCCUGACGCAGCCAUGCCGCGUGAAUGAUGAAGGUCUUAGGAUUGUAAAAUUCUUUCACCGGGGACGAUAAUGACGGUACCCGGAGAAGAAGCCCCGGCUAACUUCGUGCCAGCCGCCGCAGUAA
rnacentral:rRNA from 1 species